UACGGAGGGUGCAAGCGUUAAUCGGAAUUACUGGGCGUAAAGCGUGCGCAGGCGGUUAUGCAAGACAGAUGUGAAAUCCCCGGGCUCAACCUGGGAACUGCAUUUGUGACUGCAUGGCUGGAGUGCGGCAGAGGGGGAUGGAAUUCCGCGUGUAGCAGUGAAAUGCGUAGAUAUGCGGAGGAACACCGAUGGCGAAGGCAAUCCCCUGGGCCUGCACUGACGCUCAUGCACGAAAGCUAGGGGAGCAAACAGG
rnacentral:rRNA from 1 species